UACGAAGGGUGCAAGCGUUGUUCGGAUUUAUUGGGCGUAAAGCACGCGUAGGCGGACCUGCAAGUCAGAUGUGAAAUCUCGGGGCUCAACCUCGAAACUGCGUCUGAAACUACAGGUCUAGAAUCUUGGAGGGGGUAGGGGAAUUUCUCAUGUAGGGGUAAAAUCCGUAGAUAUGAGAAGGAACACCAGAGGCGAAGGCGCCUACCUGGACAAGUAUUGACGCUGAGGCGCGAAAGCGUGGGGAUCAAACAGG
rnacentral:rRNA from 1 species